UGAACGCUAGCGGCAGGCCUAAUACAUGCAAGUCGAACGAUACCAGAGAGCUUGCUUUCUGGGAAAGUGGCGCACGGGUGCGUAACGCGUAUGCAACCUACCUUAAAUCAGGGGGAUAGCCUCUCGAAAGAGAGAUUAACACCGCAUAAAAUCACACUUCGGCAUCGAAGAAUGAUCAAAUAUUUAUAGGAUUAAGAUGGGCAUGCGUGACAUUAGUUUGUUGGUGAGGUAACGGCUCACCAAGACUACGAUGUCUAGGGGAUCUGAGAGGAUGACCCCCCACACUGGUACUGAGACACGGACCAGACUCCUACGGGAGGCAGCAGUAAGGAAUAUGGUCAAUGGGGCAACCCUGAACCAGCCAUGCCGCGUGCAGGAAGACGGCCCUACGGGUUGUAAACUGCUUUUAUACGGGAAUAAACCUCUCUACGUGUAGGGAGUUGAAUGUACUGUAAGAAUAAGGAUCGGCUAACUCCGUGCCAGCAG
rnacentral:rRNA from 1 species